rnacentral:rRNA from 1 species
UACGUAGGGUGCGAGCGUUAAUCGGAAUUACUGGGCGUAAAGCGUGCGCAGGCGGUGAUGUAAGUCAGGUGUGAAAUCCCCGGGCUCAACCUGGGAACUGCAUCUGUGACUGCAUCGCUGGAGUGCGGCAGAGGGGGAUGGAAUUCCGCGUGUAGCAGUGAAAUGCGUAGAUAUGCGGAGGAACACCGAUGGCGAAGGCAAUCCCCUGGGCCUGCCCUGACGCUCAUGCACGAAAGCGUGGGGAGCAAACAGG